rnacentral:rRNA from 1 species
GACAGAGGGUGCAAACGUUGUUCGGAAUUACUGGGCGUAAAGCGAGUGUAGGCGGUGUGGUAAGUCGGAUGUGAAAGCCCCGGGCUCAACCCGGGAAGUGCAUUCGAUACUGCCACGCUAGAGUAUCGGAGAGGUUGGUGGAAUUCUCGGUGUAGAGGUGAAAUUCGUAGAUAUCGAGAGGAACAUCGGUGGCGAAGGCGGCCAACUGGACGAAUACUGACGCUGAGACUCGAAAGCGUGGGGAGCAAACAGG